AAUUCAAGUUUGAUUUGAUUAUUUAUUGAUUAAGCUUAAUGCAUGCAGGUCGAGUCGAGCUCAAUUAGGUAAAGCCUAAACGGACACUACAUCAUUUCACAAUUUCACAUUCUCCGGAGUCGACUCCAAGAACUCUUCUCCAAAAUUCAGUACUUUCCAAGUUCACCUAAAUUUCUUCCCACUCAUUCCAAUUCUCCUGUUUUAACAUUAAAAAUAAUACAAUCCCUUCGAUCAAUUGUCUCACAGAUCUCAAAAUAUAUCAUCUUUAGCCGCACGGAUCCUAAAGAAUUCUAGCAUUGGCCUCUUCCGGUUCCCAGCCAAAUGAAGCAUGCUCUUAUCUCUUCACGAAUCUAGCCUUACCCCUUCUUCGGAAUAGAAUCCCAUCUUGAUCUCAUGAACUCCCCAACGUCCCAGCAUCUUCCCCUGUUCUGGAAUAGAGUCGCAUGAUCCGUGGGAUAAAAUCAAAACCCAGCCCGCACAACCUCAAACAAACCACGUAUCCUCUGCGUUGAAGCCGUCCCAGCUCCCUUGUUCUGGAUCAGCCUCAUCCGCAAGCCAUCCCGCGAUGCAUAUCUCUUCCUCGGCUUCAUCCUCCCGUGACCCCCGACUCCUUCAUCCACGGAAAAGAUCCAGCUUUAUCCCUUCCUCCCAACUUUCGUUACCAAACUUCAUCCCAACUUCAUCUACAUCUUUCCAAGCUCUCAAUAACGUCACCAGAUCAUCAUCUCCCCUGUCCAAGAUCCUCGUCCGCAUCCUCAUCCCAUGUUUCAUAACAGAACCAAUCCCAGCCGAAUCCUCUUCACCCGAAUUCGUUCUAGAGAGCUCCCAAACAUCCGCAGCCUUCCUCCCAGCUCACGAAUCCGUCCGAGUUCAUCCUUAUCCCACGACCAGCUAGGAUUCAACGUCAUCAUCCCGGCUUCACGAAUCAGCAGACUCGGCAUCCAUCUCCCGAAUCAAGCAGAGCUUCUCCAAGGAUCCGGAUCAGAUCUACAACACUUCCGGAUCAUUUCACGUCCAUAGAUCCAGCCAUUCCCAAACUUCCUUUCUUCCGGAUUGAAUCCAGUAUCCACUGAUAGCUUCAAAUCCCAGCGAAUCAUAUCUUCCCAGAAUUUCUUCCAACCGGGAACAUCAUCCGAACCUUAUCAUCCCCUGUUUUCCAUUCCGUGUUCAUCUUCCACGAUACCUCCUCCCAGAUUUCAUCUGCAUCACCCAAAGAUCUUUUCCCAUUCCGUGAGCAUCAAAGGAUCUUGUUUCAACCGAUUCCCAGUGAACUUCCUUCAUCUCAUUCCGUUCCUAGCUCCCCUGUUUC
rnacentral:lncRNA from 1 species